rnacentral:rRNA from 1 species
AGUGAACGCUGGCGGCGUGCUUAACACAUGCAAGUCGAACGGUAACGCAAAGUGCUUGCACUUUGGCGACGAGUGGCGCACGGGUGAGUAAUAUAUAGUUAAUGUACCUUCAAGACUGGGAUAGCCACUGGAAACGGUGAUUAAUACUAGAUACACCUUCAUAUCACAAGGUAUGAAGGGAAAUGUUUUUUCGCUUGAAGAUCAGACUAUAUCCUAUCAGUUAGUUGGUGAGGUAAGAGCUCACCAAGACGAUGACGGGUAGCGGGUUUGAGAGGAUGAUCCGCCACACUGGUACUGAGACACGGACCAGACUCCUACGGGAGGCAGCAGUGAGGAAUAUUGCACAAUGGAGGAAACUCUGAUGCAGCAACGCCGCGUGGAGGAUGACGCAUUUCGGUGUGUAAACUCCUUUUAUGAGUCAAGAAAAUGACGGUAGCUCAUGAAUAAGCACCGGCUAACUCCGUG